UGGUGGGUAGUUUGACUGGGGCGGUCUCCUCCCAAAGCGUAACGGAGGAGCACGAAGGUUAGCUAAUCCUGGUCGGACAUCAGGAGGUUAGUGCAAUGGCAUAAGCUAGCUUGACUGCGAGCGUGACGGCGCGAGCAGGUGCGAAAGCAGGUCAUAGUGAUCCGGUGGUUCUGAAUGGAAGGGCCAUCGCUCAACGGAUAAAAGGUACUCCGGGGAUAACAGGCUGAUACCGCCCAAGAGUUCAUAUCGACGGCGGUGUUUGGCACCUCGAUGUCGGCUCAUCACAUCCUGGGGCUGAAGUAGGUCCCAAGGGUAUGGCUGUUCGCCAUUUAAAGUGGUACGCGAGCUGGGUUUAGAACGUCGUGAGACAGUUCGGUCCCUAUCUGCCGUGGGCGCUGGAGAAUUGAGGGGGGCUGCUCCUAGUACGAGAGGACCGGAGUGGACGCAUCACUGGUGUUCGGGUUGUCAUGCCAAUGGCACUGCCCGGUAGCUAAAUGCGGAAGAGAUAAGUGCUGAAAGCAUCUAAGCACGAA
rnacentral:rRNA from 1 species